AUGAGCAUCGGGCUCCUGUGCUGUGUGGCCUUUUCUCUCCUGUGGGCAAGUCCAGUGAAUGCUGGUGUCACUCAGACCCCAAAAUUCCAGGUCCUGAAGACAGGACAGAGCAUGACACUGCAGUGUGCCCAGGAUAUGAACCAUAACUCCAUGUACUGGUAUCGACAAGACCCAGGCAUGGGACUGAGGCUGAUUUAUUACUCAGCUUCUGAGGGUACCACUGACAAAGGAGAAGUCCCCAAUGGCUACAAUGUCUCCAGAUUAAACAAACGGGAGUUCUCGCUCAGGCUGGAGUCGGCUGCUCCCUCCCAGACAUCUGUGUACUUCUGUGCCAGCAGUGAAGC